rnacentral:rRNA from 1 species
GAUGAACGCUGGCGGCGUGCCUAAUACAUGCAAGUCGAGCGGUAAGGCCCUUCGGGGUACACGAGCGGCGGACGGCUGAGUAACACGUAGGAACGUACCCCAAACUGAGGGAUAAGCACCAGAAAUGGUGUCUAAUACCGCAUGUGGCCCACGGGCUAAAGCUCCGGCGGUUUGGGAACGGCCUGCGUCCGAUUAGCUAGUUGGUAGUGUAAUAGACUACCAAGGCGACGAUCGGUAGCUGGUCUGAGAGGAUGAUCAGCCAGACUGGGACUGAGACACGGCCCAGACUCCUACGGGAGGCAGCAGUAGGGAAUUUUCCACAAUGGGGGCAACCCUGAUGGAGCAACGCCGCGUGCAGGAUGAGGGCCUUCGGGUUGUAAACUGCUUUUAUCUGUGACGAUUAUGACGGUAGCAGAUGAAUAAGGACCUGCUAACUACGUGCCAGCCGCCGCGGUAA